UUACGGUCAUAUCCCAUUGGAACACCGGUUCUUAUACGAUCACCGAAGUUAAGCAACGUCAAGCUUGGUCAGUACCUCGAUGGGUGAUCGUUUGGGAACACCGAUUGCUGUAAG